rnacentral:rRNA from 1 species
CCUACGGGAGGCAGCAGUGGGGGAUAUUGCACAAUGGGGGGAACCCUGAUGCAGCGACGCCGCGUGGGUGAAGGAGUGCUUCGGCAUGUGAAGCCCUAUCGGCAGGGAAGAAGCAAGACGGUACCUGACUAAGAAGCCCCGGCUAACUACGUGCCAGCAGCCGCGGUAAUACGUAGGGGGCGAGCGUUAUCCGGAUUCACUGGGUGUAAAGGGAGCGUAGACGGCCAUGCAAGCCAGGGGUGAAAGCCCGGGGCCCAACCCCGGGACUGCCCUUGGAACUGUGCGGCUAGAGUGCGGGAGGGGCAGGCGGAAUUCCUGGUGUAGCGGUGAAAUGCGUAGAUAGCAGGAGGAACACCGGCGGCGAAGGCGGCCUGCUGGACUGCGACUGACGUUGAGGCUCGAAAGCGUGGGGAGCGAACAGGAUUAGAUACCCGUGUAGUC